GAAUUAUGCUGAUGGCAUAUAACAACAGUGAAGGACAGUGACAAAGGAAGAAAAGGGGGAAAAAAAACGCCAGCUCGGAUAUGUGGGAGUCUUAACGGCAGCAGUAAAUUCAUCACCUCUUCUGGAUUAUCAGGACACUUGUCACUGCGAGUGCCAAGCUAAACUGGAUUUUGUUGGCAUGAGAUCUUUCCGAUGUUCAUCAUCAACACCCAGACAGGACCCGGGGGAUGCCAGAGCCUGACCUGCGCCCUCAGAACCUGCACUUGUGAACUGUCAAAAGAGCUAUAAUUGGCCACAAGCAAACGAUGCCUUGAGGUCCCUGCACAGGAAUUUUGAUUAGGUGAGUAUGACAGAAAUUAAGGUGAGCUGCUGUACAACUAUGCACGAUCAACGAUAUUCUGCAUUUCUGAGCGAGAGGCCGAGCUCUCGACUUAUACCUGUGUUACUUAACUCUUAGAUCCUUAUCCUUCUUUUAAAUGUUUAUUUAUUUUGAGAGUGAGAGUGAGAGCAUGAACAGGAAAGGGGCAGAGAGAGAGAGAAUCUCAAGCAGGCCCUGCACUGUAAGUGCAGAGCCCGGCGUGAGUCUUGAACUCAAAUGUGAGAUCAUGACCUGAGCUGAAAUCAAGAGUCAGACACUUAACUGACUGAGCCACCCAGAUGCCCUUACUUGUCAGCAAGUUUAAAUCCUUGAGGGGUAUAGCAUCACACAGGUUCUGUGGCCAGUGGCUUUAGCAGGAAGGUUGCUUUGGAAUUUGGCAUAAGCCAUGCCACUGUUUCCAGGAUGCCUCUGGUUUUAUUGGGUUUGCCACCAGGAGUCACUGUGCUUUGCUUUGUGCACAUAAGCACGUCUCUUGCCCUGAUAGCAUUCAGUCGCGUCUCCAGCAUAAACACCUUCAAUUUUAAGAACCGUGUGCUCCCUCUGGUUCCAGAGACCCUGCUUACAGCCAGCAAAAAUGGCCUUGGACCACAGCCUUCCAGACCUAUUUGUCAUUUUCGGAGUCCUGUUACCAGCAGGCCCCACUUAUUUGCCCUUUAAGUUCAGCAGCAGGACCUUCCUUCACCUCCACUAGACUAAUUGGAGAGGGCCUUCUUCAGGAUACACAUGAAUUGUUCAGCCAUGUGGUAUUCAAGAAUGGUAUAGUUUAAAGAUGACUUUUCGUAGGGGCGCCUGGGUGGCUCAGUCAGGUAGGCUUCUGACUUUGGCUCAGGUCAUCAUCUCAUGGUUCGGGAGUUUGAGCCCCGCGUCGGGCUCUGUGCUGACAGCUCGGAGCCUGGAGCCUGCUUCGGAUUCUGUGUCUCCCUCUCUCUCUGCCCCUCCCCUGCUCACACACAUACUCUCUCUCUCAAAAAUAAAUAAACAUUAAAAAAAUUAAAAAAAAGAAAGAUGGCUUUCCUAGAUAAAGAUACUAAGUUGCUCUUCUAUUCAUAUCAAGAUAGUAUUUUUUCUAACUAUGUACUUAUAUGCUACUUCUCUAGAUACUAUUAAAUAGUACUCCUAUAAAUAAUUAAAAACAGUAUUGGCCUUUCCAAAAAUAGAAUUAGUGCUUUAUGAGGUCUGUUUGUCCUCAGACUAAAAAUUUGGUGGACAUUUGCCCAGUUGAGAGAUAGGAAGGAUGGUGUAUUCCAAUAAUUCUUGGUUUUUCAUCUUCUUCCAAAUGAACGUUUUGUCCCUGGCUUUUAAUGCAAACGACAAAACUGAAAGACGUGGAUGACUCUUACAGUCACAUAUUUAAAGGCGACUUCUCUGGAUAUUGAAACAGUCAGUGAAGAGAAGGGAAUAGAAGAAGCCAGCCGUUCGUUUACCUUGCUCUCCUUUACAGCCUUUGUUGCCUUUUUCUCCAACUGGCCCAGGAGUUCCCGGCCUUCCAUCCUUGCCUGGUUUACCUCUUGGCCCACAGGGUCCUAGGCAAAAAACCAACACUGUGUUGAAUGGUUCAUACAGGAGAAAACAGGGGUGGCCAGUCAUCCCAGAUAUGUGGGACUUCUCCAGUUUCGGCAACGAAAGUCUUACAAACUGAGCCACGGACAAACUCGGACAGUGGGUCAUCCAACUUGUUACAUCCUACUUCUCCAGGGGAAAAAGAACCCUCAAGAAUGGACUAGAAACAUAUGAGACAACAAUGGUUUAAAAUUGUGCUGCCAUUUUGCUUCACCCUCUUCCAGAAUUUGCUAUGCCCUUGUAUUGAACAACAUAAUAAGUCAUGGCUCUUUUAUAUCACAGAAGCAAUUCAGGCAAACUUAGAACACAACAAUUCCAUUCAGAAGUCUAUUACAGUAUGCUUACCCUAUACAGAGGGGUUAGUUCAAUUUCCAUACACCAGUACUUUGAUAAGAUUUCAUAAGAUUAAGCAUAUAUUUGCAUUUACUACUCUUCCAAGUGCUCUCCAAAGUGUGAGAAAACUACACACACAUAGAACUCAGGUUUAUUCAGGUAAUUGUUUUCAAAUAAGAGCUCUAAAACCAAUGGUUGUCACAGAAGAUAGAAUUAAUACUUGAUCUUAAUGAAAAAAAAAAAAAAAAAACAACCGUAAGUGCCUAAAGUGUAUUUGCUCAAGCUUAUACACUGCACAACAGGUUUCAAUAGAGUCAAUAUUUUCAAUAGACUCUAUAGUGGUUGCUUCCAAAGCACUUUGUAGGUAUUUUGGUUCAACCACUUGCUUGUAAUCCACGUCAAUACAGUCAGUUCCACACCUAGGAUUCCUGGUGGCCCCGGUGGCCCAGGCUCUCCUUGCAUCCCUGGUUCUCCAACAGGUCCAGGUGGCCCUGGGCUUCCUGGGAGGGAGAUGAUCUUAACUGUGCCAGGGUCUCCACGUAUACCUAUUGACAUGAGCAGAGGAAAACGAUGGGUUCACUGAUGGGCUACCCUUUCUUCAUGAAGAGCAAUACUAAGGAGAAUAAUAUUUACCGGGUGGUCCUUUUGGCCCAAUUUGCCCUGGAGGUCCGACUGGUCCCAGAAAUCCUGGAUUACCCUUCUCCCCUUAUAAAAAAAAAAAAAAAGCAAUGUGAUUCCAUGUAGAACAGUGGGUUUCCCAGCUCUUGAGGUUUAUGAUCAACUGUAAGGACAGACACUGGGAGUUAGGACUGGAGGUGAUGGGGCUCUGUGACAAUGGCUACAACUUCUGGCAUUUCAUUUGGACCCAAUCAAUCAUGCUUAAUGUUUAUCUAAAAAUAUAUUCUAGAAGUAGGCAUUAAGAUUUUGUAUUUUAGUAUUGAAGAGGAAGAGUUCAUAAAGUUCACUGUUUCCAUUCAGAAACGAAUUUAAUAUUUAAGGUAAAGUAUGAAGUGACAUUAAACCUAUUUUAGUGCUUACAUCAGUUGUCAUAGUUACCUACUUUCUUAGCUUAUUUCUCUAGCUUUAUUAAGAGCCCAUUAGUUAUAUUAGGGAUUCUCAUGAACACAUACGGAAUAUUUGCUUUCAUGUAAACCAUCAAAAUGGUAUGAUUUCUCUCCCAGUCUUUGACAUGAAUAAAAGUUUACCAAGAAUCAC